rnacentral:misc_RNA from 1 species
AGUAAACACUAAUUGCUUCAACUGAUCCUUUAGUCAUUCUGAGGACACUUUGGAAGGGAGCUAAAACUCACAUUUAAAUUAAGUAAUACUUGCUUAUGCUUGGUACUAUAAUUGGCAGAGUUUAGGUUUUUCCACUGCAACUCUUAUUAUCAUUUCAUUCUGUUAAUAACAUCCUGCAUGGAACAUUCAUGUAAUUAUUCUUCAUAAAAUGAUUCCAACAGGACAAAAUCUUUAGCUAGCGUUCUUUAAAGUAAGAAAAUUUAGAAUCUGAAUUAAAUUUUAAAAACCAAUGACUUGAGAUAUUUUCUUUUAGAAGCUUGUGAAUAUUUUCUUCAUAUUUUCUUUUCUCUUUUAGAAGCUUGUGAAUAUUAGUCUACAUUAAUUAGAUAUUGACAAAUCCAUUUUAUCGAAGUCUUGAAUGAAAAUAUCAUGUAUAAAUGGACCUAGCACAUUUUAAAAGAUUUUAUUACCAUUUGAGAAACAAUUAAAGAAAUUACAAGGAACAACUCUCAUUUGAUUUAAUUGCACAUUGAUUUCCCAUUUGCAAGGGACAGAUUGUUCUAAGGUUACCACAAUCUUAUUCAUUCUUCUUCUUCUUCUUCUU